rnacentral:rRNA from 1 species
UACGGAGGGGGCAAGCGUUGUUCGGAGUUACUGGGCGUAAAGCGCGCGUAGGCGGUGCGGUAAGUCAGGGGUUAAAGGCUGCAGCUCAACUGCAGUAAGGCCUUUGAUACUAUCGUGCUAGAGUGCCGGAGAGGGUAGCGGAAUUCCCUGUGUAGCGGUGAAAUGCGUAGAUAUAGGGAGGAACACCGGUUGCGAAGGCGGCUACCUGGCCGGUAACUGACGCUGAGGUGCGAGAGCGUGGGGAGCAAACAGG